rnacentral:rRNA from 1 species
UGGCCAAACUACCCUUCGGAGCACCAUACCCUCGGGAAACUGAGGCUAAUAGUGCAUCCCGCACUCACCCUGGAAUGGCGAGUGCGUCAAACGCUCCGGCGCCGAAGGAUGUGGCUGCGGCCGAUUAGGUAGACGGUGGGGUAACGGCCCACCGUGCCGAUAUCGGUACGGGUCAUGAGAGUGAGAACCCGGAGACGGAAUCUGAGACAAGAUUCCGGGCCCUACGGGGCGCAGCAGGCGCGAAACCUUUACACUGCACGACAGUGCGAUAAGGGGAUCCCAAGUGCACAGGCAUAGAGCCUGUGCUUUUGUACACCCUAGGGAGGUGUCCGAAUAAGGGCUGGGCAAGACCGGUGCCAGCCGCCGCGGUAAUACCGGCAGCCCGAGUGAUGGCCGAUCUUAUUGGGCCUAAAGCGUCCGUAGCUGGCCGCGCAAGUCCAUCGGGAAAUCCACCCGCUCAACGGGUGGACGUCCGGUGGAAACUGCACGGCUUGGGACCGGAAGGCGCGACGGGUACGUCCGGGGUAGGAGUGAAAUCCCGUAAUCCUGGACGGACCGCCGAUGGCGAAAGCACGUCGCGAGAACGGAUCCGACAGUGAGGGACGAAAGCUAGGGUCUCGAACCGGAUUAGAUACCCGGGUAGUCCUAGCCGUAAACAAUGCCUGCUAGGUGUGGCUCCCACUACGAGUGGGUGCUGUGCCGUAGGGAAGCCGCUAAGCAGGCCGCCUGGGAAGUACGUCCGCAAGGAUGAAACUUAAAGGAAUUGGCGGGGGAGCACUACAACCGGAGGAGCCUGCGGUUUAAUUGGACUCAACGCCGGACAUCUCACCAGCAUCGACUGUGGUAAUGACGGUCAGGUUGAUGACCUCGCCACGAGCCACAGAGAGGAGGUGCAUGGCCGCCGUCAGCUCGUACCGUGAGGCGUCCUGUUAAGUCAGGCAACGAGCGAGACCCGCAUCCGUACUUGCCAGCAACACUGCGAAGUGGUUGGGGACAGUACGGAGACUGCCGUGGCCAACACGGAGGAAGGAACGGGCAACGGUAGGUCAGUAUGCCCCGAAUGUGCUGGGCAACACGCGGGCUACAAUGGUCAGGACAAAGGGUUCCUACUCCGAAAGGAGACGGUAAUCUCAGAAACCUGAUCGUAGUUCGGAUUGUGGGCUGCAACUCGCCCACAUGAAGCUGGAUUCGGUAGUAAUCGCGUGUCACAAGCGCGCGGUGAAUACGUCCCUGCUCCUUGCACACACCGCCCGUCAAAGCA